AUUGAACGCUGGCGGCAGGCCUAACACAUGCAAGUCGAGCGAGCGGCGGACGGGUGAGUAAUGUAUGGGGAUCUGCCCGAUAGAGGGGGAUAACUACUGGAAACGGUAGCUAAUACCGCAUACCAUCGGAUGUGCCCAGAUGGGAUUCGCUUGUUGGGGGGGGAACGGCUCACCAAGGCGACGAUCCCUAGCUGGUCUGAGAGGAGGACCAGCCACACGGGAACUGAGACACGGACCAGACUCCUACGGGAGGCAGCAGUGGGGAAGAGUGCACAAUGGGCGCAAGCCUGAUGCAGCCAUGCCGCGUGUAUGAAGAAGGCCUUCGGGUUGUAAAGUACUUUCAGCGGGGAGGCGUUACCCGCAGAAGAAGCACCGGCUAACUCCGUGCCAGCAGCCGCGGUAAUUC
rnacentral:rRNA from 1 species